UUGUCUCCCAUUUUGACAAAAAAUAUUAUUUAAUAGCUGACGAUACAAAUCAAGAUUAUUUCCUUUCUAAUGUAGAAGAUCAGACCAGGCUGCAACCACAGAGCAUACUCAGACAGAACCUUGACUCAGUUACCAAUAUAAAUCUUUUCUGAUGUGGAAGAUCAGACUAGCUGCAAUCCACAGAGCAUACUUAGACGGUACCUUGGCUCUGAUACCAUUUGUUGCGACAGCCAAAUGUAUAUAGUGUAAAUGAGUCACAACUACUAUACCAAAAAUUAUGGCAG
rnacentral:lncRNA from 1 species